CUAUCAGCUUGUUGGCGGGGUAAUGGCCCACCAAGGCGACGACGGGUAGCUGGUCUGAGAGGAUGGCCAGCCACAUUGGGACUGAGAGACGGCCCAGACUCCUACGGGAGGCAGCAGUGGGGAAUCUUGCGCAAUGGCCGAAAGGCUGACGCAGCGACGCCGCGUGUGGGAUGACGCCUUUCGGGGUGUAAACCACUGUUGCCCGGGACGAACAGCCUUUUUCGAGAGGUCUGACGGUACCGGGUGAGGAAGCACCGGCUAACUCCGUGCCAGCAGCCGCGGUAAUACGGAGGGUGCGAGCGUUGUCCGGAAUCAUUGGGCGUAAAGGGCGCGUAGGUGGCCCGGUCAGUCAGUGGUGAAAGCGCGGGGCUCAACCCUGCGUCGGCCAUUGAUACUGCUGGGCUGGAGCACUGUAGAGGCAGGCGGAAUUCCGGGUGUAGCGGUGGAAUGCGUAGAGAUCCGGAAGAACACCGGUGGCGAAGGCGGCCUGCUGGGCAGUUGCUGACACUGAGGCGCGACAGCGUGGGGAGCAAACAGGAUUAGAUACCCUGGUAGUCCACGCCGUAAACGAUGGGCACUAGGCGCUUGGGGGAGCGACCCCCCGAGGGCCGGCGCUAACGCAUUAAGUACCCCGCCUGGGGAGUACGG
rnacentral:rRNA from 1 species